rnacentral:rRNA from 1 species
GACGGAGCAGGCAAGCGUUGUUCGGAAUCACUGGGCUUAAAGCGCGUGUAGGCGGUCUCGCAAGUACCUUGUGAAAGCCCUCGUCUCAACCGAGGAACUGCUUGGUAUACUGCGGGACUUGAGGUAGGUAGGGGUGCUUGGAACUCUAGGUGGAGCGGUGAAAUGCGUAGAGAUCUAGGGGAACGCCUGUGGCGAAAGCGGAGCACUGGGCCUUACCUGACGCUGAGACGCGAAAGCGUGGGUAGCAAACGGG